rnacentral:rRNA from 1 species
AUACGGAGGGUGCGAGCGCUAAUCGGAAUUACUGGGCGUAAAGGGUGCGUAGGCGGCUUGAUAAGUCGGAUGUGAAAGCCCCGGGCUUAACCUGGGAAUUGCAUUCGAUACUGUCAGGCUAGAGUAUGUCAGAGGUUGGCGGAAUUCCUGGUGUAGCGGUGAAAUGCGUAGAUAUCAGGAGGAACACCAGUGGCGAAGGCGGCUAACUGGGGCAAUACUGACGCUGAGGCACGAAAGCGUGGGGAGCAAACAGGAUUAGAAACCCUAGUAGUCC